AUCUUUGCGCUUGGGGCAAUGACGCAGCUCAUGAGGUUCUAACCGAGGCGCGUCUAUUGCUGGUUGAAAACUAUUUCCAAACCCCCUCUUAGGCCUGGGCUUGACCCUGGCCUUCGAGAAUUUCUGGAAGGGCUCCCUUCGGGGUAAAGCC
rnacentral:snRNA from 1 species